GGUUCUAUCGUAUAGUCGGUUAGUACAUCGGAUUCUGAUGAUUCAAUCAUAUUCCGGUAACCUGAGUUCGAGUCUCAGUAGGACCU